rnacentral:lncRNA from 1 species
GGCAACAGCUUGUUCAAAUGUCUCUUAAAAGCAUAACAUUAAACAUAUAUACCAAGUAUUUUUCUUCUGUGAAAUGGCAAGCAUAUUUCCUUUAUUAAUGAGAAAUUCAAUCUUUCUGAUUUGAAUCCUAUCAACUGAGUAAAGAGUUUUGUUUUUUUUUUUUUUUUUUUUUUUAAUGAUUUUUAUUAUUAUGCUCCCCUCAGGGUUGUUAUCCCACAUUUAGAGAUUUCUGCAGAGAUUUUUUCUUCAUUUUGAAGCAUGACAAUGAAUAAGCAACCUUGCUUGGGUUACAGACCAUCAAAAGUAAUGCUAAUGCUAACCUUUGCAUUCAGGGUUAUUCUUCAAUGAAGUCCUCUGAUCUGUAAAAUUAAAUAUGUUCCUUCCCCUGGUAUGCCUAUAAAGCCAUCUAAAAGCUCUAAGUUUUUCUAAAUUACACUGAUUUCUAUGCUGACAUUUUGAUUAUGAAACUUUUUCUGAAGAAAAUACUCAAACCAAAAAGAUAUCUGUUCAAAGACAGUUUGCCCUCAAUGUGGUGCAGGCAGCGGAGGGGUAGGACUCAGGUACACACAGUUGUACCGUAUUAGCAAACUAUAGUAGAUGCAAAACAAUUUUAUUUUUACUUUUUAUUUAUGUGAUUCUCUACAGAAGAAACUUUUGGCUAAGGUAUUUUACCUUUCAUUUGUAAUGGGUUAAAAUACUUCAGCUCAGCUGCGCUCAGUAACUCAUUAAUGUGUGGUAAAACCUACACAUGUGUAAGCUGUCAGGGUCUUGAUGCUCUGAGCACCUGAGUCCAGGUGUUCACAUUUAAAGGAUAACAAUUGAACCCAUGAAGGCACAGACUUAACCUGAUUAGUUACAUGCUCUGGUCACAGGAGAAUGAAAGCAUUUAUAUUUUUGGUAGAAGGGUUGUGUGCUUUCUGGGGUCUGAAGAAAAGGAUGCUGCUUCUGGACCUUGGAAAGAUGUUUCCUGAGGAGGCAGCCGACGUGCCUGAGGGGAGGCUGAAUGCAGGAGGACUGGAAAAAAAAGGCACUCAGACUGUGACUGCACCUGGAAAAAACAACUUUAAGGAGGUGGGAAAGACUGCAGACAGUUUCCUGAAGGAGUGUGAAAAUGGCAUUUGCUGCAGAAAGUUGGAAUUGUGGAUACCCUGCAUCCUGAACCUGCUGCAGAAGAUCUGGAGUACCUGCAGGAGAGCGAAGACAGUAAAACUGCAUUCGUACUUCGUGGGAGUGAAUUACAGCAAGGACUUCUACCUGCAGCAACAACACCCAGGUUAA